UCUGCGGUGAGUUAAGUACCAUCUGAACUUAACGUUGUAUCAGCCAUACUAGCGCCGCUAAUAUAUCCGCCGUAAUACUCACCAGGUUGGGCUUUGUUGAUGCCUGAUUUACCUUCUGAUGAGAACAAGUAACAUCCACUUCCUCAGACAAUCCGUUACUCGACGGUCAGGUUUUUUUUUCCUCCCCCUUCAACGGAGGAUGGCGAGCUACCCACACACCACCUGGUGGUAGGAAAAGAGACACUUUCCACACAUGAAACAAAAUAAA